rnacentral:rRNA from 1 species
UGCGGGGGGGGCAAGCGUUGUUCGGAAUUACUGGGCGUAAAGGGCUCGUAGGCGGCCAACUAAGUCAGACGUGAAAUCCCCAGGCUCAACCUGGGAACUGCGUCUGAUACUGGAUGGCUUGAAUUCGGGAGAGGGAUGCAGAAUUCCAGGUGUAGCGGUGAAAUGCGUAGAUAUCUGGAGGAAUACCGGUGGCGAAGGCGGCAUCCUGGACCGACAUUGACGCUGAUGAGUGAAAGCUAGGGGAGCAAACGGG